UGAUAGCUGUGAAGCGUGAGGUUGCUGCCUAAUAUAUGGUAGGUUUUCCGUGGAGCGAAUGUCAAGUUAGGAAACUGGCGACAA
rnacentral:ncRNA from 1 species